CUGCAGCCCGAGUGGUGAUCGAUUUUAUUGAGCCUAAAGCGUCCGUAGCCGGACUAGUAAACCCUUGGGUAAAUUGGGCAGCUUAACUGUCCAAAUUCCGAGGGGACUGCUAGUCUUGGGACCGGGAGAGGUCAGAGGUACUCAAGGGGUAGGGGCUAAAUCCUGUAAUCCUUUGGGGACCACCAGUGGCGAAGGCGUCUGACUAGAACGGAUCCGACGGUAAGGGACGAAACCCUGGGGCGCGAGCCGGAUUAGAUACCCGAGUAGUCC
rnacentral:rRNA from 1 species